GGACAUAUCAUAACGAAGAGGUAUCGUAAUUGAAGAGGUUUGGAAAGACCCACCACAGAAGGUAAUAGUCCUGUAUGUUAAACGAGAAGACUUCAGAUAUGAUCCAGAGUACCACGGGACACGUGAAACCCUGUGGGAAGCAGGAGGGACCACCCUCCAAGGCUAAAUACUACCUAGUGACCGAUAGCGUAUAGUACCGUGAGGGAAAGGUGAAAAGAACCCCGGGAGGGGAGUGAAAUAGAACCUGAAACCCUGCACUUACAAGCUGUGGAAGCACAUUUCUUGUGUGACCGCGUACUUUUUGUAGAACGGGCCAACGAGUUACGUUAAGUAGCAAGGUUAAGCACUUAAGGUGUGGAGCCGUAGCGAAAGCGAGUUUUAACUGAGCGUUCAGUUACUUGACGUAGACCCGAAACCGGGCGACCUACCCAUGAGCAGGAUGAAGCGAAAGUAAAAUUUCGUGGAGGUCCGAACCCACGAGCGUUGAAAAGCUCGGGGAUGACUUGUGGGUAGCGGUGAAAUUCCAAUCGAGCCCGGAGAUAGCUGGUUCUCCCCGAAAUAGCUUUAGGGCUAGCCUCAAGGUGAGAGAUACGGAGGUAGAGCACUGAAUGUCCUAGGGGGUAUUGCACCUACCGAAGACUAUCAAACUCCGAAUGCCGUCAUCUUAUACUUGGGAGUCAGACUGUGGGUGAUAAGAUUCAUAGUCGAAAGGGCAACAGCCCAGAUCGUCAGCUAAGGUCCCUAAAUGUAAGUUAAGUGGUAAAGGAUGUGGGAUUGCACAGACAACCAGGAUGUUGGCUUAGAAGCAGCCACUCAUUCAAAGAGUGCGUAAUAGCUCACUGGUCGAGUGAUCCUGCGCCGAAGAUUUCCGGGGCUAAAACUUACUACCGAAGCUACGGCAUCAGUAAUGAUGGGUAGGGGAGCUUCCCAUACGGGUUGAAGCAUGACCGUAAGGACAUGUGGACAGUAUGGGAGUGAGAAUGUUGGCAUGAGUAGCGAGAUGUGGGUGAGAAUCCCACAGGCCGUAAACCCAAGGUUUCCAGGGGAAGGUUCGUCCGCCCUGGGUUAGUCGGGACCUAAGCUGAGGCCGAAAGGCGUAGGUGAUGGACAACAGGUUGAU
rnacentral:rRNA from 1 species